rnacentral:rRNA from 1 species
GCUGGCGGCGUGCUUAACACAUGCAAGUCGAGCGGUAAGGCCCUUCGGGGUACACGAGCGGCGAACGGGUGAGUAACACGUGGGUGAUCUGCCUCGCACUCUGGGAUAAGCCUGGGAAACUGGGUCUAAUACCGGAUAUGACCACUGAUCGCAUGGUUGGUGGUGGAAAGAUUUAUCGGUGCGAGAUGGGCCCGCGGCCUAUCAGCUUGUUGGUGGGGUAAUGGCCUACCAAGGCGACGACGGGUAGCCGACCUGAGAGGGUGACCGGCCACACUGGGACUGAGACACGGCCCAGACUCCUACGGGAGGCAGCAGUGGGGAAUAUUGCACAAUGGGCGAAAGCCUGAUGCAGCGACGCCGCGUGAGGGAUGACGGCCUUCGGGUUGUAAACCUCUUUCGACAGGGACGAAGCGCAAGUGACGGUACCUGUAGAAGAAGCACCGGCCAACUACGUGCCAGCAGCCGCGGUAAUACGUAGGGUGCGAGCGUUGUCCGGAAUUACUGGGCGUAAAGAGCUUGUAGGCGGUUCGUCGCGUCGAUUGUGAAAACUUGCAGCUCAACUGCAAGCUUGCAGUCGAUACGGGCGGACUAGAGUACUUCAGGGGAGACUGGAAUUCCUGGUGUAGCGGUGAAAUGCGCAGAUAUCAGGAGGAACACCGGUGGCGAAGGCGGGUCUCUGGGAAGUAACUGACGCUGAGAAGCGAAAGCGUGGGUAGCGAACAGGAUUAGAUACCCUGGUAGUCCACGCCGUAAACGGUGGGUACUAGGUGUGGGUUUCCUUCCACGGGAUCCGUGCCGUAGCUAACGCAUUAAGUACCCCGCCUGGGGAGUACGGCCGCAAGGCUAAAACUCAAAGGAAUUGACGGGGGCCCGCACAAGCGGCGGAGCAUGUGGAUUAAUUCGAUGCAACGCGAAGAACCUUACCUGGGUUUGACAUACACCAGAAAGCCGUAGAGAUACGGCCCCCCUUGUGGUUGGUGUACAGGUGGUGCAUGGCUGUCGUCAGCUCGUGUCGUGAGAUGUUGGGUUAAGUCCCGCAACGAGCGCAACCCUUAUCUUAUGUUGCCAGCGCGUAAUGGCGGGGACUCGUGAGAGACUGCCGGGGUCAACUCGGAGGAAGGUGGGGACGACGUCAAGUCAUCAUGCCCCUUAUGUCCAGGGCUUCACACAUGCUACAAUGGCCGGUACAGAGGGCUGCGAUACCGUGAGGUGGAGCGAAUCCCUUAAAGCCGGUCUCAGUUCGGAUCGGGGUCUGCAACUCGACCCCGUGAAGUUGGAGUCGCUAGUAAUCGCAGAUCAGCAACGCUGCGGUGAAUACGUUCCCGGGCCUUGUACACACCGCCCGUCACGUCAUGAAAGUCGGUAACACCC